UACAGAGGGGGCAAGCGUUGUUCGGAAUUACUGGGCGUAAAGGGCGCGUAGGCGGCCUGUUAAGUCGAACGUGAAAUCCCCGGGCUCAACCCGGGAACUGCGUCCGAUACUGGCAGGCUUGAAUCCGGGAGAGGGAUGCGGAAUUCCAGGUGUAGCGGUGAAAUGCGUAGAUAUCUGGAGGAACACCGGUGGCGAAGGCGGCUUUUUGGGCCGUUCCUGACGCUGAGGCGCGAAAGCCAGGGGAGCGAACGGG
rnacentral:rRNA from 1 species